GGCAGCAGCGGCCGAGCCAGGGCUGGGCACGGCGCGGCCCGCCCCCGCUCCCCCUCCCUCUCACGCGGGGCUCCAACCGCCGCCGGCCGCCCAGGGAGAAGCGGCGCGAGCCGCCACACAGAAGAUGGAGGCGCGGGUGCGCCGCAGCCGAUGUGUGGCGGAACCGGCCCCUCCCCCGGCGGGCGGCGCCAUUUUCCCCCUGAUGAGCAAUAUUGCAGCUAGCCCGAUGUCAAAUGUUGCCUCUUCAAGCAGCGGAAGAGGGACAGGGAAAUCAACAAGCUUUACUCCUGAACUGCAAAGUAUGAUGUUUUCCUUAGGGGAUGUUCGCAGGCCCCUUCAUGAAACUGCAGUAUUAGUGGAAGAUAUCAUCCACAUGCAGCUGAUUAAUUUGUUGCAGCAAGCAGCUGAAGUUUCUCAGCUGAGAGGAGCUCGAGUCAUCUCUGCUGAAGAUCUUCUGUUUUUGAUGCGCAAAGAUAAGAAAAAGCUUAGAAGGCUGCUCAAAUAUAUGUUCUUCCGAGACUACAAAUCUAAAAUUGUCAAAGGCAUUGAAGAAGACGAUCUCCUUGAAGACAAAUUCAACAGUAGCAGUGUCAACAAACGUCAGAAACUGGCUCAAGACUUUCUCAACUCUAUUGAUCAGACUGGGGAGCUCUUGGCUAUGUUUGAAGAUGAUGAGAUUGAUGAUGUUAAACAAGAGCGGAUGGAGAGAGCAGAAAGACAAACACGAAUGAUGGACUCAGCCCAGUACGCAGAAUUUUGUGAAAGUCGUCAAUUAAGCUUUUCCAAGAAAGCUUCCAAGUUUCGUGAUUGGCUGGACUGCAGCAGCAUGGAAAUAAAACCAAAUGCAGUUGCUAUGGAGAUUUUGGCAUAUUUAGCAUAUGAGACUGUGGCACAGUUGGUGGACUUGGCUCUUUUGGUCAAACAGGAUAUGGCUCCCAAAGCAGGUGAUCCAUUCAGUCAUGCAAUAUCUGCUACUUUUAUACAGUAUCCCAGUUCUGCUGAGCCACAUCUCUUAGGCCAGACCACAAAUAUGAAGAGUAAUCUUGACUCCCCCGAAAACACACCACCUCCUACGCCCACUCCCCCAGCAUCAGCAGGACCACAACACCUUGGGAAAACCCUGUCCGGAGCCCUGGGGAAUGGGGGCAUUGGACAAGACUCCACCAAAGUCAAACAAAGAAAAAGAAAAAAGAGCACUGCAGCUUGUGGUAUAGAGGCUCAAAGCGAUGCCAUCCAGCCCUGCCACAUCAGAGAGGCCAUUCGGCGCUACGGCCACAAGAUUGGCCCCCUUUCCCCAUUCACAGAUAGAAGAGUGUGCAGUGGAGUGGUUUGUUUUGAACUAGGUAGAAGUGCUGUCUUCCUGUGGAACCGGGUGAUUCAUGCUGCCUGCUGAUAUAAAGGACCCAUUUCGGAAACAUUCCCUUUGGGAUGAGGUUGGAGGUACAGCCCAAGUUUAGAGUGCCUACCGCAGAAAUGGGAUGACUUUUCUAGCCUGCUAGUAUGGAUGUGGCUGCAGUGACAGGAAAGGCAGUGUUAUAUUAAGGUGAUUUUCUUUUCCCCUCCAUGGAAGAAAAAAAAAUAAAAGCUCUAAUGUGUCUGUGUACCAGUGAGUGGGCUGGUUUGUUGUGACUAUCUACUGGCUGACUCCGUCUCUUUUUCCAGCCCCCUCGAUCGUUAUUCUUGUUUACUAGCUGGAAUGUUAAGCUAAUUAAUGGCAGGAUGUUUGGGAUAGUGUGUAGGUGGACAAGAAUGCAGAUCACACAAUUUUGAAAUUUGCAGUGGGCUUACUUCUGUCAGCCCUCAUAUCUAAAGUGCAGUGUCAUUUUUUAUUUUUGAAGUCUGUAUGUUUUAAUAGAUGUGUUGUUUUGUAAAGCAGGUUUGAGGCAAAAAGAGGCCAAGGAUUUGGAUGAUUAUUUAUGCUUGCCUUGUUUUUUCAAAAGUAAAACUGCAUUGUUUUGCAUUUAAUUCCUCUCAAAUCAAUUUCUUAGACAAUGCUAAAAGAAUAAUACCCUCUCUAGCCAAACAAGGCGUUUUUCAGUGAGGAUGAUGCAUAGGAGGGGAGAUGAGCUAAGUUCAGAUAAGAAGCCUUUUCAGAUAGGAAGACUUCAAGUAAAUGACUUCAGGUCUUCUUGUUUCAGUUAAAUAUUAGUAUUUUUAGAGUCCCAAGGAGCAUCUAUGCUGAAAUCUGAAAAUUCUUAAUAUUGAAAUCUCUUUUCUUAUCCUCUUCUCUCCCCUGAAAUCAGUGGGAGUAUUUCUUAUGAUUUUAAUGAUCAUUGGAUCUGUUCUUUUGGCCCCAAUUCACAAGGUACUUAAACCUGUAUAACUUUAAGCAUAGUAUUCUGUUGACUUCAAUGGGACUACUCAAGUACUUAAAGCUACAGCCCUGCUUAAGUGCUCUGCUGUACGGCCCUGAUCCUGUUAAUGUUAAUGGGAGAAAAUCCAGGCCCUUAUUUAUUUUUAAUUUCUGUUGCUCCGCUUUGUUUUUUUUUUCUUUUGGUUUGUUUUGGGGUUUUGUUUUGUUUUGUUCAAACUCUGGCUCUCCCUUUAGCCCUCUUCCCUUCUCUGCUCUUCCAGUUUUUGAUAUCUUCACAAGCACAUUCCUUUCUUCCCAUGGAAAGUGUACAUAUAUAGAAGUAACCAAGGUCACGCUUGAGGAGACAAAAAGGCUUAGGCCCAGAUUCUGCAUCUGAAUCUGCUACUGUGCCCUAUGGCAUCCCAUUGGUACAGAAGUCAGCGCUAGUGUAUCCCAAAGCAGAGUCAGGGCCUUAAACCUUUAAGAAAGACAGAACACUCAGGAGACCUAGGAGAUCAACUGUCUGCAUUACUUCUAUAUAGUGUAAGCAGUCUCCUCCUUUGUGCUUAGUAUGUGAGGUUUCAACUCCUGCCACUUCUCUGAUACAGUCUUAUACUUUAUAAAUGUUUUCAUUGGACAGUACCUGGACCCACUUGCGAAAAAAAAAAUUAAACUAAAAACAUGUGUCUCUUCCUUGUGAUCAAAAAAUUGUGAAGCAUUGUAAAUGUAAUCACAGUGCAUCCAAUAUUUCUGCCAUCCAUAAGUUGCCUCCUUUUUUACCUGCUGCAUGCCAGUCCUUCUGGAAUUAAUCUGUAUGUAAAGGACUAAAAAUAAUGCGUACAAUACAGUAUAUUAAAAAAGAAAACAGUUUUCUGAUGUUCCAU